ACGAAGGAACUCCUAGGAAUGACGAAAGAAUGAGGAACAGAGAUAAACGUUUAUAUAGUCCACCCACGAAGAAGCAUGUCAUGAAUGGACCACUCGAAAGGGGAGGGAAAGUACACUAAUAAUUACGACAAUAAAGAAGAACAAAUCAAGGAAACGACAUACUGAUCUUGAUGUCUGGUCAAAGUUUUAUGAAAUUCAAACAGGUUCACAAAAGAAAUACUGAUACGUGUUUUAGUGAAUAAAACACACGUUAGUGCUGCAUAAAUUUAUAAUUAUUGCAGCACUAAUAUCGAUAAACGUUGUAUCGUGAACUAUCUCGCCCAUAGAUAUAAAGGAUUAAUAAUAAAUUAAACGAAAGGAUUAAUAAAUGAUAAUAAAAUAAAACCUUUAUUAGAUGAAUACAAAUAUUUCCCAAUAUUAGACUGAGGUAGACAUAAUUAUUAUCUGUCUGUAAUUAAAUAUUUUAGCACAACUUUUCCUGUUAAAUUUGUAUUUCUUUAGAACACUCAUAUUUUUCUUUACUCUUGUUAGUUAAAGAUGGAGAUAUCCGUCAUUUCUAACAUCCUUUCAAUAUCUUUGUUCAAUA